UGGUUCUGGCAUCGAUGAAGAACGCAGCGAAAUGCGAUAAGUAAUGUGAAUUGCAGAAUUCAGUGAAUCAUCGAAUCUUUGAACGCACAUUGCGCCCUUUGGUACUCCGAAGGGCAUGCCUGUUCGAGCGUCAUUUCAAACCCUCAAGCGUUAGCUUGGUAUUGGGCCUAUCAUCCUGUUAAAGGGAUGUGCCUGAAACCCGUUGGCAGUAGCGCCCAGCUUCUUUGCGUAGUCAUAUUAUUUCGCUCUGAAGUUCUAGGUGGUGCCCGCCUAACAACCCCCCCUUUUAUUCUAUGGUUUGACCUCGGAUCAGGUAGGAAUACCCGCUGA
rnacentral:misc_RNA from 1 species